ACAGAGCUGUGCUGUGUGCUCUCAACCUGACAGAGCUCAAAUCUGUCCAUUUGAGGAUGGGUUGCUACUGUGUGGAACCUGAACCUGACCUGACAGAUCUUUGACGUGGUAUGAGUAUAUCUGUGUUUUGAUGACAGGAAGAGGCUCCACCUGCAGUCCAGGAGAGGCUGAAACACAUCAUCCAUCUUUAUAAACAGAUCAUCUGAUGCUAACAGGAGUUAACCUCAUCAUCUGUGCAGCAUGCCUUCAGACUCUGCAUUAGAGAUAUGCCUCUAACAGCAGC